rnacentral:rRNA from 1 species
CAGCCGCCGCGGUAAUACCGGCGGCCCGAGUGGCGGCCACUAUUAUUGGGCUUAAAACGUCCGUAGCCGGGUUGGUUAGUCUCCCGGGAAAUCUGGCCGCUUAAAGGUCAGAAUUCCGGGAGAUACUGCCAGCCUAGGGACCGGGAGAGGCCGAGGGUAUUCCCGGAGUAGGGGUGAAAUCCUAUAAUCCCGGGAGGACCACCUGUGGCGAAGGCGCUCGGCUGGAACGGGUCCGACGGUGAGGGACGAAGGCCAGGGGAGCAAACCGGAUUAGAUACCCGGGUAGUCCUUGCUGUAAACGAUGCGGACUUUGUGUCGGACAAGCUAUGAGCUUGUCCGGUGCCGGAGGGAAACCGUUAAGUCCGCCGCCUGGGGAGUACGGCCGCAAGGCUGAAACUUAAAGGAAUUGGAGGG